rnacentral:rRNA from 1 species
UACAGAGGUCCCAAGCGUUGUUCGGAUUCACUGGGCGUAAAGGGUGCGUAGGCGGUCGGGUAAGUCUGAUGUGAAAUCUCACAGCUUAACUGUGAAACUGCAUUGGAUACUAUCCGGCUCGAGGAAUGGAGGGGAGACUGGAAUUCCAGGUGUAGUGGUGAAAUACGUAGAUAUCUGGAGGAACACCGGUGGCGAAGGCGGCGAUCUGGCCCAACAUUGACACUGAGACCCGAAAGCGUGGGGAUCAAACAGG